AUUGAACGCUGGCGGCAGGCUUAACACAUGCAAGUCGAGCGAGCGGCGGACGGGUGAGUAAUGUCUGCGAACCUGCCUGAUGGAGGGGGAUAACUACUGGAAAAGGUAGCUAAUACCGCAUACCAUCGUAUGUUCCCAGAUGGGAUUAGCUAGUAGGUGGGGUACAGGCUCACCUAGGCGACGAUCCCUAGCUGGUCUGAGAGGAGGACCAGCAAACCUGUAACUGGGACACGGUCCAUACUCCUACGGAGGGCAGCAGUGGGUAAUAUUGCACAAUGGGCGCAAGCCUGAUGCAGCCAUGCCGCGUGUGGGAAGAAGGCCUGCGGUUUGUAAAGCACUUUCAGCGAGGAGGCGGUACUCGCAUAAGAAGCACCGGCUAACUCCGUGCCAGCAGCCGCGGUAAUUC
rnacentral:rRNA from 1 species